rnacentral:rRNA from 1 species
UACGUAGGUGGCAAGCGUUGUCCGGAUUUAUUGGGUUUAAAGGGUGCGUAGGCGGUUCUAUAAGUCAGUGGUGAAAUACGGCAGCUCAACUGUCGAGGUGCCAUUGAUACUGUGGAACUUGAGUACAGACGAGGUAGGCGGAAUUGACGGUGUAGCGGUGAAAUUCGUAGAUAUUGGGAAGAACACCGGUGGCGAAGGCGGCGACCUGGUCCGAUACUGACGCUGAGGCGCGAAAGCGUGGGGAGCAAACAGG